rnacentral:rRNA from 7 species
UUAGCGCGGUGGUCCCACCUGACCCCAUGCCGAACUCAGAAGUGAAACGCCGUAGCGCCGAUGGUAGUGUGGGGUCUCCCCAUGUGAGAGUAGGGAACUGCCAGGC